GUCCCCAUCGUCUAGUCAGGCCUAGGACACCGCCCUUUCACGGCGAUAACAGGGGUUCGAAUCCCCUUGGGGACGCCA
rnacentral:tRNA from 1 species